GGAGACCAAAGUUGAGAGGCUAAAGUCGGUAGUACAAGUUAAAGAUAGGAGAUUGCAACAGUUACACGAAUAGAAGCCAAAGGUAAGGCUGCUUUUAAAGCUCAAAUUGACAAGCUACAGUAGGAAAAUGUUGAACUCCAGAGAAGGGUUAUUGGCAAUCAGCAAGUAGGAACUCAACAAAUACCUGAGGUGAAGAAGAAAGAAAAGGAGUACAUCAAAUUGUGUGUGAGAUACCUUUUAGUUAUUUUUCGGUUCUAGGCUCAAGUUGGAUUCAGGUUAUAUAGGAGUUUUUGUAUGUCUAAACCAAGUCAAGUCUUAAUGGAGAAAAAGAAAGAAUCUAUAUCAGGAACGGAGAUAAUGAAUUUGCUACAAGUAUAUUUUAGUUAUUUAUCAAUAUUUUACCCAUAAUGGAUCAUUCCUUUCAUUUACUGGCUUUUGUAAUGUAUGAUAUGAACAGAAAGAGGGUGACGACGUGGAACUUGGAAUGGCAAGAAAACUGAUAACGAUUUCUAUAAAAGGAUAGUGGAUGCUUAUGAAGUUAAAAAUCAAGAAUUGACGUCAGAGAAUGCUUAUUUAAAGACAUUGACCAGUAAAUGCAGGUUUGCAACAAUUUUGUUAUUGUCUGUGUUUUAAGUUUACUAAAUUUUUAUCAAAUAAAUUUUGGAAGGGGUGGUGAGCAUGCAAUAAAACAAGUUUGUAGAAUGCAUCUAUUCCGUCUUAUUAAUUUUGUGAUAUUGAGGUUUUUUGCCAUUCUUUUAUUGAAUUAUUUUUGUGAAUUUUAA